AAAUGAACAAAUUCAUCAAAAACUUUCAGAAAAAACCAAAGAAAAGUUGUUAUAUAUUAGGGAUGAAUAGGUCACUACCGAAAGAGAUUAUGUCAAAUCAUUGGAUUACGUCAUCCAGAAUUAUGUAAAGCAAAUGGAGAGUGACGAUCUACAGGCGUCAUUACGACAGACAUAUAUCUGUUGUUUAAUCCCGAAAAUACACAGCAGUCACCAUCUUGCUCUAUAGAACUUGCUCUAUUUUCAUCCGACCAGAUCAAAAAAAGACGACUAGUCCCAGACCUCUCACUCUUCAUACUUUCCAAAUUUCAUAUGGCGCAAAACAUUAGAUGUAAAAAAGUCUUGAAACAAGAAUAAAAAUACCAAAAUA